rnacentral:tRNA from 1 species
GGUGAGGUGGCCGAGAGGCUGAAGGCGGCGGUUUGCUAAACCGUUGUAGGGUUUAUAGCUCUACCCAGGGUUCGAAUCCCUGCCUCACCGCCA